rnacentral:rRNA from 1 species
AUUGAACGCUGGCGGCAUGCCUUACACAUGCAAGUCGAACGGCAGCACGGGUGCUUGCACCUGGUGGCGAGUGGCGAACGGGUGAGUAAUACAUCGGAACAUGCCCUGUAGUGGGGGAUAGCCCGGCGAAAGCCGGAUUAAUACCGCAUACGAUCCACGGAUGAAAGCGGGGGACCUUCGGGCCUCGCGCUAUAGGGUUGGCCGAUGGCUGAUUAGCUAGUUGGUGGGGUAAAGGCCUACCAAGGCGACGAUCAGUAGCUGGUCUGAGAGGACGACCAGCCACACUGGGACUGAGACACGGCCCAGACUCCUACGGGAGGCAGCAGUGGGGAAUUUUGGACAAUGGGCGAAAGCCUGAUCCAGCAAUGCCGCGUGUGUGAAGAAGGCCUUCGGGUUGUAAAGCACUUUUGUCCGGAAAGAAAUCCUUGGCUCUAAUACAGUCGGGGGAUGACGGUACCGGAAGAAUAAGCACCGGCUAACUACGUG